AACGAACGCUGGCGGCAUGCCUAAUACAUGCAAGUCGAACGAGAUCUUCGGAUCUAGUGGCGCACGGGUGCGUAACGCGUGGGAAUCUGCCCUUGGGUUCGGAAUAACGUCGGGAAACUGACGCUAAUACCGGAUGAUGACGUAAGUCCAAAGAUUUAUCGCCCAGGGAUGAGCCCGCGUAGGAUUAGCUAGUUGGUGGGGUAAAGGCCUACCAAGGCGACGAUCCUUAGCUGGUCUGAGAGGAUGAUCAGCCACACUGGGACUGAGACACGGCCCAGACUCCUACGGGAGGCAGCAGUAGGGAAUAUUGGACAAUGGGGGCAACCCUGAUCCAGCAAUGCCGCGUGAGUGAUGAAGGCCUUAGGGUUGUAAAGCUCUUUUACCCGGGAUGAUAAUGACAGUACCGGGAGAAUAAGCCCCGGCUAACUCCGUG
rnacentral:rRNA from 1 species